rnacentral:rRNA from 1 species
GAUGAACGCUGGCGGCGUGCUUAACACAUGCAAGUCGAACGAAGCACUUAAGAUUGAUUCUUCGGAUGACGUCUUUUGUGCCUUAGUGGCGGACGGGUGAGUAACGCGUGGGUAACCUGCCUCACACAGGGGGAUAACAGUUAGAAAUGACUGCUAAUACCGCAUAACCCGAUAGGAUCGCAUGAUCCAGACGGAAAAGAUUUAUCGGUGUGAGAUGGACCCGCGUCUGAUUAGCUAGUUGGUGAGGUAACGGCCCACCGAGGCGACGAUCAGUAGCCGGCCUGAGAGGGUGAACGGCCACAUUGGGACUGAGACACGGCCCAAACUCCUACGGGAGGCAGCAGUGGGGAAUAUUGCACAAUGGGGGAAACCCUGAUGCAGCGACGCCGCGUGAGUGAAGAAGUAUUUCGGUAUGUAAAGCUCUAUCAGCAGGGAAGAAAAUGACGGUACCUGACUAAGAAGCCCCGGCUAACUACGUG